GUAACUGACUAAUUACUUCAUGUGUCAAAGAUCGUCUGAUUCAAAGACAGCCAUUUCUGGUUACGCUUUGUGUUGCCAUUUUAUAUAACCCAUUUAGUCUCUUCAACUUAUAGUUUAUUAUUCAAAUUAAUUUAAUUUCUCUGCCUAUUAUUAUUAAUCAAGUGCGACAGUAUUUUAUGGUUGUCUUUCAAGUUGGAAUUAAAUUGACAAAUGAAGAAAAAUCAGUGUCAAGAGAGGUACACUUGUAAAGAUAUUUUGUGUAUUAAAGAUAUUGUAAUGUUGGUCACAUGAGACCCAAUAAAGUCAAGCAAAUCGGAUUGUCAUCAUGAUCAUUACAAAUGGUCAACUAGUGUUUAUCAAGUAACUUGUAAGAGAAACUCUUGAAGGGAUGAAAAGAAAAAUGGAUUACAUUUAGAUUGACAAUUAAGUAAAGAGUGGUCAUUUCAUCACAACAUCUAACGAGAUUUAUCUUCAAUUCAAACACUUGAUUAUGUUCAUCGAUCCUUAUUCCUGUCAAUCGAACUAUUUAGGUUAAUAUGCAUUCAAUGGCAAGUAGGAUCAACUCAAACUCAUCGUGUUAAUGUGAAUGAAUGAACUUGAACAAUACAGAUUUACCUAAAGAUGUGUGUUACCAUGGAGGCAGCAAUGUUAAAUAAUUGUUAUUGACUUUUACUGCUAUUACUACAUUGAAAGUUCAAUCAAGCUGCUAUUGUAGAAGUGUACACUUUAUGUUCAACCUUUUCAUUUAAAUUUGAACAUGAUCUUCUAUCGUCUCUUGAGAAUUUUUUUGGACAUUAGUGAUCACAAUUGAACACAGCUAUGGCAAAAAAGUAAUAAUACGUUUUGUUUAUUACCCUGACUUUAACUGUUGCUAUUACAAGGUUCAAUGGAGUUUCCAACAAUGAAACCUCAUGAAAAACAUUUCAACAGUUCAAAACUUACUGGUCAUUGUAGGCAAGAUAUCUUCAAAUUGGUUUACCUUUAUACUUAUCGAUUUAAGGCAGGCUGAAUUAAAAAAUGACUUGGAAAUAGAGUGUUGUAUAUGAAAGUUCAAAGUCUUCCCUCCAAUAGUGAUGACAUCAAUUUGUUUUCGAUUACUUAGAAUAAAAUACAAAUCAAUAUAAAUUGCUGCUGUAUACAGCCAUAAGACGAGUUGGAAUAUCCAUAUUAAAAAACAAAAUCCAGAUUCAGAACUAUUUUAUUUGGAGUGUGUUUUCCCUUUCGCUUCUGAUGCUCACCUAAGUAAACGUAAAAUCUUCGGAAGAAUUGUUCAGUUGAACUAACAAUUCUCCUUUCAUCCAUUCUUCUCUUCCUUGACGAUUCCCCACAUCAUCUGUUUCAUCUCAACAUAAAUAUAAUCAAUGGCCAUGUAUCAACUGUUUUCCUGUUUUCAAAUUUGAUUAACUUUUUUUCAACGUCAAUGAUGGAAAGAUUUGAUUUUGGAUUUUUGGCCUUUCUUAAAAUCACAUCCAGAUGAAUUCAGUGCUUGGUUUAAAAUAGAUUCACCAGUUGAUACAUUUAUGAUUUCAAGCCUCAAAUUGUUGAAUCAAGAUAAAUAACUUUACCAGAGCCUCAAAAUUUCACCAAAUCUAUCAACUAUAAGUCAAUUAGAAUGGAAAAAAUCCCUUCAAAGUUGCAAUGAUUCAUUUCGAAGAUUCAAUAUUCAUUUUAAAGCUGCUGAACUUCAGAAUAAUCUCUGGUUGAUUGUUAAAGGUUAACCCAAAAUUAAUUUUGUAAUCUCAUUGGGAUUUAGGAACCAAUAUUUGCUCAGCAAACUUUUCUAUCUAAUUAACUUUUGAUAAUCAGCCGAAUAACUUGAUUGGAACGUUCAGACAUAGCAAUUAAUGAACAGAUGUUCACUUUAAUCCAGUGUAAUCCAAAAUUAAGAUUACGCCAAAUUAAUGAAAACAAAUUUCCAUUAAUCCCGAUGUGUUAAAUUAAUUAUCUUGAUUGAACAAUUUUAAUUUUCACAAAAUCUAAUUGCCUUCAUGGUAAUGGUAAAAUCAAGUGUUAUAAACACUGACAUUGGUGGACGCUGAGUGUCACAAACAUUACCUCUGUCAGUGUUAUCAAUGUAAAAUGAUUGACCACAAACUAUAAUUCAAUUUCAUUAUUACCUUGACAGAUUUGAUUUGAGAUCAUUUUGUGCAAACAAAAUCGUUGAGAAUCUUGACAAUUUCAAAGAAAACAUUUUGAAAUGAAUUAGGUGAAAUCAUUAGAUAAAUGAUGAAAAUUAAUGGUAAAAUACAGAGAUGUGAUCUGACUUGAUAAUGAAAUUAUAAUCUUAUCUCAACCAUUUUCCUGUCUUCGACAGCAAUAAUAUUAAAUUAUUGUCUUCACAAUAUAAAUAGUAGCUUUAAGAGUUUUAUCAAACCAUUGAUUAGUUUAUAAACUAAUCGAAGCUAUCAACUGUUCAACAGAUUCUUAACCUUUGAUAUAAAAUGUUAAGUUGAUUUUCUGUCUCAAUUUCAUCCUCGAUUGUUUCAACUUUUCUGUUCAUUUCUUUUCAUUUCGCAUUUUGCAUUUUACCUUGAAUUAAAUAUUCUCAUCAGAACUUGAAGUAAAAUCUUUUUUUAUGUUGCCUUCCCUGCACAUCUAAUUAGACUUAAUCAUUAGCUAAAUUGACUGAGUAAAAAGCUGAGGUUAAGGUUGAUUGUUGAAGAAAGACUGUAAUAUAGUCUAGAUGUAACAAUCAAAGGAAUAAUGAUUUUCAUUCACAAUCUGAUUGUGAGAUGGAAACAGCAUGAAAAGUGCUGAACAACAAAUGAAAUCAUUGCUUAUUUAGCCUCUUAUUAUUGUUGCUUUUUUCAACUGAAAAAAGGCAAUCAAAAAGAUUAAACCAACAAGUUUACAAUUUACAUUAAAUUACUGUUGAAGUAUGAAUUGCAAGAUUCAACUGAAAGAAAAAGUUAAUCAAGAUGCAACCCAAUAUACUCAAUGAUCGUCUAAAGUAAACCAGAGAGUUGAUACAGCUAAAUCAUCACUGUCACAUCGUUAGAAAAUUAAACUGAGAUUAAAUCAAUUGAAAGCCCUGAAAGUUUCCAUGGACGCAGCAGGAUAAAGAUUAACAUGGAAACCUACGAAUAAUAUCCAAUAUCAAAGAUCCGAUGUUUGACUCGAUAAAAGCCAAUAUUUGAUGAACACGAAACUCUUGGCCUUUUCCGUCUAAACUGUCCGUUAAAAAGUUGAACUACAAAUGGCUGAAUAAUAACCUCCGCUGAUUAAAGAUCAUAAACUCUUCAUUUAUCCAAGUCAUUAUUCAAUAUUAAUCUUUCAAGGAGUCCAGGAGUUCAACAAUUUUAGGAUUUUUCUUGUAAAUUCAACCAAAAGAUACUUAAAGACCCAAAGAUCAAAGUAAUUUUUCUGGAUUUUCAGCCUGUUUGGUGAUUUUUUCAUAUUACAUCAAUAUUUCUCAAAACAAUGAGGAUAAUCAACCAUAAUGGACGAGCAUUCAGCACAAAAUUGAGCAUUGUUUUGAUAGUUUGUCCAUUAGUUUAUGAAAGGCUUAACAUUUGAAAUAAAAUGUUUAUUAAAACCAUUGAUUUGGUUAAUUUAAUGGUAAUCGAGUUAAUCUGCUCUAUCAAGGCGUCAUCUGACUUCAUUGAAAUGCUUAAUGAAACAAAAGAAAAUUGAAAUGAAAUUUAAUAAACAUUUGAAUUUACUCUUUUCUUGA